CUGCACUUUGACUAUGGAAACGGACGGAAUUGAUGGCUACAUAACGUGUGACAAUGAGCUUUCACCUGAAGGGGAGCAGGCCACCAUGGCCAUUGACCUCACUUCAAGCACACCCAAUGGACAGCACGCCUCGCCAGGUCACAUGACAAGCAGUGAGUCUUCAUUUUACGAUUAUUAUUAUUAUUUUUUUUAAUUCUCAAGUGAGAGGUUCGGCUGUGUCAGGUCUGUGAGGUCUGCUCACUCUGGGACAGAGGUACUGCUGUAGCUUUUACUAAGAAAAGAGCAACACAGAUUUAUUUCCGUUCAUUCUGGUAUCAUAAAACAUGAGCCUACUUACUAGUCUGAACUGUCCCAAGGUGGCGUAUGCUAGCUGGUGCCUACCUGUACCGGGUAAGAAAUGUUAGCCUUGUUGAUGAUUGUUUUCAAUUCGAGGGUCACGUCUAGGUUUGUUGCUUGAUAAAAAAAAAAAAAUUAGAGCAAUGUGGCAUUACCAAAGGACUCUUCGUGGUUAUUUAAAAAAAAAAAGGAAC
rnacentral:lncRNA from 1 species